GACGAACGCUGGCGGCGUGCCUAAUACAUGCAAGUCGAGCGGWGAUUUAAAAGCUUGCUUUUAAAUCUUAGCGGCGGACGGGUGAGUAACACGUGGGCAACCUGCCCUGUAGACUGGGAUAACUUCGGGAAACCGAAGCUAAUACCGGAUAAUCUUUAGCGUCACAUGGCGCAAAAGUAAAAGUUGGGUUUACCUAACACUACAGGAUGGGCCCGCGGCGCAUUAGCUAGUUGGUAAGGUAAUGGCUUACCAAGGCGACGAUGCGUAGCCGACCUGAGAGGGUGAUCGGCCACACUGGGACUGAGACACGGCCCAGACUCCUACGGGAGGCAGCAGUAGGGAAUCUUCCGCAAUGGACGAAAGUCUGACGGAGCAACGCCGCGUGAACGAUGAAGGCCUUCGGGUCGUAAAGUUCUGUUGUUAGGGAAGAACAAGUACCGUUCAAAUAGGGCGGUACCUUGACGGUACCUAACGAGAAAGCCACGGCUAACUACGUGCCAGCAGCCGCGGUAAUACGUAGGUGGCAAGCGUUGUCCGGAAUUAUUGGGCGUAAAGCGCGCGCAGGCGGUCUCUUAAGUCUGAUGUGAAAGCCCACGGCUCAACCGUGGAGGGUCAUUGGAAACUGGGAGACUUGAGUGCAGAAGAGGAGAGUGGAAUUCCAUGUGUAGCGGUGAAAUGCGUAGAUAUAUGGAGGAACACCAGUGGCGAAGGCGACUCUCUGGUC
rnacentral:rRNA from 1 species